rnacentral:rRNA from 1 species
GCAAGUCGAACGGUAACAAUUCGGUUUACGAGUGGCGAACGGGUGAGUAACGCGUACGCAACCUACCUUCAAGAGUGGGAUAGCCCCGGGAAACUGGGAUUAAUACCACAUAGUAUUAUAAAUGCGAGUGCUUUAAUAAUUAAAGUUCAGGCGCUAGAAGAUGGGCGUGCGUGAUAUUAGCUAGUUGGUGUGGUAACGGCUCACCAAGGCGAUGAUAGCUAGGGGGCGUGAGAGCGUGACC